GGUCUCUAAUGGCCUCCGCAACAGUCACUCUUGUGUUAGCAAUACUGUCUCUAAGCUUGCCAUCUCAAAUCUCAGCUGAUACCUACUUGUACUCAUCACCUCCUCCUCCCAAGAAGCCCUAUUAUUAUCACUCUCCUCCACCACCUUCACCUCCUCCACCUAAGCCAUACUACUAUCAUUCACCACCACCACCUUCACCUCCUCCACCCAAGCCAUACUACUAUCACUCACCACCACCACCUUCACCUCCUCCACCUAAACCAUACUACUAUCACUCACCACCACCACCUUCACCUCCUCCACCUAAACCAUACUACUAUCACUCACCACCACCACCUUCACCUCCUCCACCUAAACCAUACUACUAUCACUCACCACCACCACCUUCACCUCCUCCACCUAAGUCAUAUUACUAUCACUCACCACCACCACCACCCAAAAAGAAGCCAUACUACUACCAUUCUCCCCCACCACCUUCACCACCUCCUCCUAAGCCAUACUACUAUCACUCUCCCCCACCGCCUUCACCUCCUCCACCUACGCCAUACUACUAUCAUUCUCCCCCACCACCCUCACCACCUCCACCUAAGCCAUACUACUACCAUUCACCACCACCCCCACCGAAGAAGAAGCCUUACUACUACCACUCUCCACCACCACCUUCACCUCCUCCUCCAAAGAAGCCAUACUACUACCACUCCCCACCUCCUCCCAAGAAGCCCUACAAAUAUUCAUCUCCCCCACCUCCAGUGCACCCUUACCCUCAUCCUCACCCCCAUCCCCAUCCACACCCCCACCCUCACCCUCCCUACGUUUACAAAUCUCCUCCCCCACCCCCUAAGAAGCCAUACAAGUACCCAUCCCCACCACCUCCAGUCCACGUUUACCCUCACCCUCACCCGCAUCCACACCCUCACCCUCAACCUCACCCCCAUCCACAACCCCACCCUCCCUACAUUUAUCAGUCUCCUCCAC
rnacentral:lncRNA from 1 species